rnacentral:rRNA from 1 species
CGGGGGGAGCAAGCGUUGUUCGGAUUUACUGGGCGUAAAGGGCUCGUAGGCGGCCACCGCAAGUCGACUGUGAAAUCUCCGGGCUUAACCCGGAAAGGUCAGCCGAUACUGCGGGGCUAGAGUGCAGAAGGGGCAACUGGAAUUCUCGGUGUAGCGGUGAAAUGCGUAGAUAUCGAGAGGAACACCUGCGGCGAAGGCGGGUUGCUGGGCUGACACUGACGCUGAGGCGCGAAAGCUAGGGGAGCGAACGGGAUUAGAUACCCCGGUAGUCCUAGCCUUAAACGAUGAAUGCUUGGUGUCUGGGGUUUUAUAGUCCCCGGGUGCCGUCGCUAACGCUUUAAGCAUUCCGCCUGGGGAGUACGGUCGCAAGACUG